rnacentral:rRNA from 1 species
AGAGCGAACGCUGGCGGCAGGCUUAACACAUGCAAGUCGAACGGAUCCUUCGGGAUUAGUGGCGGACGGGUGAGUAACACGUGGGAACGUGCCUUUAGGUUCGGAACAACACAGGGAAACUUGUGCUAAUACCGGAUGUGCCCUUCGGGGGAAAGAUUUAUCGCCUUUAGAGCGGCCCGCGUCUGAUUAGCUUGUUGGUGAGGUAAAGGCUCACCAAGGCUACGAUCAGUAGCUGGUCUGAGAGGAUGGCCAGCCACAUUGGGACUGAGACACGGCCCAAACUCCUACGGGAGGCAGCAGUGGGGAAUCUUGCGCAAUGGGGAAACCCUGACGCAGCCAUGCCGCGUGGAUGAUGAAGGUCUUAGGAUUGUAAAAUCCUUUCAGCGGGGACGAUAAUGACGGUACCCGCAGAACGAACGCCCGGCUAACUUCGCGCCAGCAGCCGC